AGUGAACGCUGGCGGUAGGCCUAACACAUGCAAGUCGAACGGCAGCACAGUAAGAGCUUGCUCUUACGGGUGGCGAGUGGCGGACGGGUGAGGAAUACAUCGGAAUCUACUUUUUCGUGGGGGAUAACGUAGGGAAACUUACGCUAAUACCGCAUACGACCUACGGGUGAAAGCAGGGGAUCUUCGGACCUUGCGCGGUUGAAUGAGCCGAUGUCGGAUUAGCUAGUUGGCGGGGUAAAGGCCCACCAAGGCGACGAUCCGUAGCUGGUCUGAGAGGAUGAUCAGCCACACUGGAACUGAGACACGGUCCAGAGUCCUACGGGAGGCAGCAGUGGGGAAUAUUGGACAAUGGGCGGAAGCCUGAUCCAGCCAUACCGCGUGGGUGAAGAAGGCCUUCGGGUUGUAAAGCCCUUUUGUUGGGAAAGAAAAGCAGCAGGUUAAUACCCCGCUGUUCUGACGGUACCCAAAGAAUAAGCACCGGCUAACUUCGUG
rnacentral:rRNA from 1 species